rnacentral:lncRNA from 1 species
GAAGCAAUCCCACAUAGUACUUUCAUCAUGGACAACUAUAGGAACCGCUUCCAUACAUCAAUUGUGCUACUCUCGAUGCUUCUUCUCAUAUGCUUUACUGCCCGUGCGCAAUGUAUGUUUCAGACAAGCAACCUAUCCACUUAUUGUAAUACCUAAGUUGAUUAGUCUUUCCAAUACUGAUCUUCCAUUACCGAUCCAAUAAUGCAUAUGUUAUAUAUAAAUUCUUGUUGACUAGUGCAUAACUUUUACUUCUUCCGAAGUUCUUACAGUUUUUCUGAGUGGUUUUGUAUUUGUUCUUUGUUGAAUCAGUUACUUGUUAUAUAUUAGUAGUUGAUAAACACAGACUAAUAUGAAUAUUAACUUUGCAUAUGUUCUAUAGGCAGGGUCCUGGAAGACAUGGAAACCGUUAAGAUCAAUAUACAUGGUCUAUGCGUCUGUGAUCCGAACUGCAAAGACUCGAUGUGCAUAUGUUGUUUAGCAAAUAAAUACUGUUAUUCUACAGUGGAUUAUUGCAUGGAAGACUGUCCAAAGACUUCUCCAUCAGACCAAGCAGCGAUGAAACGUUCUCCAUCACCCUCUUAUCCAAUCUAGUCAUAUGGACGCUGAUGUGCUCAUGAAUAAUUUAUUAUGAUAAACUAUGUCGUAAUUGUUUUGCUUUUCAAGAGCUGAUAAGUUAUAUAUCAAUCUUCAUUAUGAGUUAAUUAGUCUCUAGACUCCACUAAUUUAAAAAGCACUAGUUAUUUUUCUUUGAAAAGCAG